rnacentral:rRNA from 1 species
UGCAACUCGACUCCAUGAAGUCGGAAUCGCUAGUAAUCGUGGAUCAGAAUGCCACGGUGAAUACGUUCCCGGGCCUUGUACACACCGCCCGUCACACCAUGGGAGUGGGCUGCAAAAGAAGUAGGUAGUUUAACCUUCGGGGGGACGCUUACCACUUUGUGGUUCAUGACUGGGGUGAAGUCGUAACAAGGUAGCGCUAGGGGAACCUGGCGCUGGAUCACCUCCUUAAACGAUGAU